rnacentral:rRNA from 1 species
UACGUAGGGUGCGAGCGUUAAUCGGAAUUACUGGGCGUAAAGCGUGCGCAGGCGGUUUUGUAAGCCAGAUGUGAAAGCCCCGGGCUUAACCUGGGAAUGGCAUUUGGGACUGCAAGGCUUGAGUGCGGCAGAGGAGACUGGAAUUCCUGGUGUAGCAGUGAAAUGCGUAGAUAUCAGGAGGAAUACCGAUGGCGAAGGCAGGUCUCUGGGCUAUAACUGACGCUCAUGCACGAAAGCGUGGGGAGCAAACAGG